rnacentral:Y_RNA from 1 species
AGCUGGUCUGAAGGUAGUGAGUUAUCUCACUUGGUAGUUCACAGUCAGUUACAGACUGAACUUCUUGUUUUACUACUUUCCCCCCUUCUCACUACUGCACUUGACUAGUCUAAA